ACAAAUAAAUCACAACCCAGAUCGCAAAAUCAAAAGCCCACUUCACUUUGAACGCCACGCCAUAUUUAGGCUUCAAACCACAACACAAACCAAACAAACAAAAAAAUAACACAAGUGGAGGAGCUCUGAUUAAAUUCAAGACUUACAAGAUCCACAUUGAGAUAGUUUUAAAUGAAAUCAAUGUUAAAGCAAGAGAAGAAACGAGAUCAGAUCAGACCACAUGUAUGUAUUUGUUUGUUGAUGAUAAAAGAAUAAGGCAAUAAUUACCGACAUGUCACGAAUUUUUAUUCAAGGCCACUGAAGAAUCUGUUGUAUAUUUUAUAGAAAUACAAAAGAAUUUUUUUUUUUAAUAAAUGAAUUGAAUUUGAUUAGUUUAGAAAUUUUGUUUAGCUGUGCUGUGCUGUGCUGAGCUGGUAAUAUUUGAAGAAGGAAAAUAUUCAAAGAACUGAAAUGAAGAGUGAAGGUCCAAUCUCCAAAAGCUAACGCUUCUUUCAUCAUUCUCUUUGCUCCUCGCGGUAAUCAAUACCGUUUUGUACCUUUUUCCUUCUUCAAGCGGCGCCUUUUUGAUUCUCCUUGCCGCCUCCUCUGUAUUUUGCUUUGCAUGUGGCAUUUCGUGGGUCCCUUUAUUACCAACACUAGUUGUUGGUCACUUAAAUAGUUAUAAUUACCAAUUAGACAAUAUAAUGCAGAAUAUUUCACGGUUACGGGAUUAAAUUCGGCUAGGGUUAGGGUUUCGGCGUUCUAUUCUAACUUGUCAAGAAGAAAACGGUAUUGAAUCAGUGUCUGAUAUAAGAACAAUUAAGAUGUCGAAGAAAAACGAUUUAGCUCGCAGAAAAAGGCAGCAUGAAUUCGAACUACAAAGAGAGAAGCUAGAGAAGGAAAGGAAGGCAACAAGCUUCAAGCUAAGAAGAAUAAAAUGAAGGUUGAUGGGAAAGACAAGAAAAAGAAGGGUACAAGUAGAUUUCAAGUAGGGAAGAGAAAGGUGAAGACCAAAUUGACAGCAGUAGCGAAAGCUAAAGCUGCCCAAGCAAUGGAGCUCGAUAAAUGGGGUUCUCAUUGAAUCUUUUUGGUGAACGUUGAUAAUUUAGCAAGCUUGAAGAAACAGUUUGAGCUAGGUGAGGAUUGGAUGAGAGAGGCAAACCUCUGGUUCAUGCUGUAAGAAUGCCUAAUAAGUGGGGUUGGUGAGAAUUGGAAGAGCUGCUUACGGGAGGGGUUGUCUGAUAUGACUUUCAGUUAAUCAGGUUAAGCCUAGUAGGCAAUGGAUGUUGAGGUAGAGGAGGUAAUGUUCUUGGGCCACAAGUUCUGGCAGAAAAUGAAAUGAAUUCCAGCAUGACCUGACCAGUUGAAAGGAAAGGUUGAUGCCAACAGAAUUCGAAUAUAUAUCUAACCCUACGACCCACCUUUUCAUGUCCAUUAACAAAAAUCUGGGUUUCUGCUAUGCAACUAGUACUUGUUUUUUAAAUUGGGGACCAUCUUUUUUCUAUUCUGAAAUCCGAGAUAUAAAUUAUUCUCCUA